rnacentral:ribozyme from 11 species
ACUGCAACAAAUGCUAUUAAAAAGCACAACGAAACACUACUGACUUUCAUUUUCUUACGAUUCUUUACAAACUAGAAAGGAAGACAAAUCAACGUGUACUAUUUAAUGUCCUUUUUUUAUGACGAUUACGUAU